rnacentral:miRNA from 1 species
CGGAAAGGAUUGGGAAACUUGA